GAUGAACGCUGGCGGCGUGCCUAAUACAUGCAAGUCGAGCGAACAGACGAGGAGCUUGCUCCUCUGACGUUAGCGGCGGACGGGUGAGUAACACGUGGAUAACCUACCUAUAAGACUGGGAUAACUUCGGGAAACCGGAGCUAAUACCGGAUAAUAUAUUGAACCGCAUGGAUCAAUAGUGAAAGACGGUUUUGCUGUCACUUAUAGAUGGAUCCGCGCCGCAUUAGCUAGUUGGUAAGGUAACGGCUUACCAAGGCAACGAUGCGUAGCCGACCUGAGAGGGUGAUCGGCCACACUGGAACUGAGACACGGUCCAGACUCCUACGGGAGGCAGCAGUGGGGAAUCUUCCACAAUGGGCGAAAGCCUGACGGAGCAACGCCGCGUGAGUGAUGAAGGUCUUCGGAUCGUAAAACUCUGUUAUUAGGGAAGAACAAAUGUGUAAGUAACUAUGCACGUCUUGACGGUACCUAAUCAGAAAGCCACGGCUAACUUCGUG
rnacentral:rRNA from 1 species